rnacentral:ncRNA from 1 species
GAUAACAGCAUAAUCCUCUUCUAGAGUUCAUAUCAACAGCAGGGUUUAUGGCCUUGAUGCUGUCUCGGGACAUCCCAGCGGUGUAACUGCUAUUAAUGGUCUGUUCAACAGUUAAAGUCCUACAUGAUCUGAGUUCACCAGUAUGAAAGGACUGG